CCCGGGAUGCGGCACCGCGUCCUGCGGGGUUCCCUCCGCACCACCGGCCCUCUCCACUGACCGCCGUCCCGGCCGGGGGCGACUGAACUGCUCCGGGCGAGGUUCAGGUGGCACAUCGGGAGGAAUUCCUUCGGAAAUGCUAUUCAUCAGUGCCAAGGAAAGGAAAAUGUUGUCUGUCAAGUUAUUGUGGUAUCAAAAGUGUCCUUUGGUAAAAAUUGCUUCACCUGUUAAUUGCCUGCAGCACUGAGGAUUUAAUGGUGGCACCAUGGAUCUCCUCUGCCCAGAAGAGAGCCUGGGAGAGAUGGAUAAUAUUUUAUUUCAAUACAACACAAUGAUCUGUGUUGGGAGCAUUUUUGUUCUCUGCAGCAGGUAGCAAAACCAUGCAGCAUGCGAGCUGAGAGAGCUUUCAUCAGCUCCUGCUUUCCACUGUUCCUGCUGUAAUGGAAACAUUUCUUCUGCUCCUUACAGCAGCAAAAUAAUAGUAAAGAAAAUUACUCCAGUCAACUGAGAUGAGGUUUCCAUGUCAUCCUUCCGAGUAAAAUAUUUAUUAGCUGUUAAAGUGAUUGAAGGUCACUCAUUCACUUUCUUUCAGAAACUAGCAUAUAGAGGGAAUGAAGAGAAAAUAAGUUUUUAAAAUUUUGAAGGCAGAGAACUGUAAAUAGGAGGUAAAAGACGGGAAAAAUCAGGAGAAAAUGUUCAUGUUGGUGCCUUACUCCACUGUAAAAGCAAGAUAAGGGAAUAAAUAAAUGAUAGCAAAGGAAAAUUAAAUGGGCCUUGGUAGGAUGAGGUAAGGUCUGCCCUAGCAGUAGUAAAAUAAUCCUUUUCCCUUGCCAAGUGUCCCUGUCAGACAGAGCAGGAGAGAUUUCCAGCCCUGGUGCCUAGCAGGGGCAGUUUGAACUGAAAUAGGGACAUGAUUAAAUUUUUACAACUUUUUAAACUGUCAUUCAGCAAACAAGGUCCUGCUCUCUGCAGUAAGGAAACAAGGGUGAUUAAAGCCUGCCAAAUGAAGGGAAGCUCUGUAUACAAUGUUUAAAAAUAGUUUUUAAAGAAAUAACUACAUAGAAAGUGUGGCAAAGAUAAAGUCAAAGAUUUAUGAGGCGUAUAAGGUGUUUGUAAGAUUAACUACAGGCUGAGACUAACCCUAUCUCUUGCACUGAUGAACUUUUCAUUUGUGGUGAGAAAAAGGCACUGUGCCCUGGAAAACAAAUUCAGCACUGGCUGUUCUCAUCCUAGGGCUGUGAGCAAUAUUUUAAAUAUGUGCAAUAUUUUAGAUGUGUGACAUAAGACAGCACAGCAGCAAGGUUAGAAGUGGGAGAAUACUGGGAGGGAGAAGCAAUACCUGCACACAACUUCUUGGGAUCCAGAUGGGAGCUGGAGGCUGAUUGUAGAUGGAAAUAGUGCCACUGAGUGUUCCUGUACCGAGGCCUGACUUGUAGCUGAUUAAUAUAUCUACUGAUCUCUAAUUAAAUGCAAUUAACAGCCUGUACACAACGGUUGCCUGGGUGAUAUUUAAGCUCAUUAUCUGGUGCCCUCUAGUGGAACAUGAGACAGAUACAAUCAGACCUUUUUUUUUCUGCAAAACCAGAUUUAUUUUUCUUCCAGUGCAUGGCCCAACCAAGAACCUUUGAUGAAAUCAUUGAAAGCUUAUGGGUGCACUGAAAAUCAUGCAAAAGGUAAAUAAGUAGGAGGAUGACUUGGUCUGUUGUGUUGAUCUUUACAAGUAAUGACUAAAAUUUAUAAAGUAGUGACCAAAAGCGUAUUUUGAAAGAAACAAGGAGAAGGAGAAGGCAAAAAGAGAAGAGGGCAGAAGGAGAAAAAAAAAAAAAGGGAAAGAAAAGCCAAAAAAACCCCCAGGAUACAUUUUAAUGAUUCUUGACUUAAGCAUCAGUUACAGGUAAUGAAAGAUUAUUGCUUCCCUAUUUGAUAUCUUAUUUUAGAAGAUUUCCUGUAGCACAGACUUACCUUGUUUUGUAGUUGGUCAGAGCCUGUGAUCCUCAGCCUGACUGUUUCACUGAGUGGAGAAGCUCAGUGGAUGAUUGUGCCACACUGUCCUGGUUUGGGGCAAAUUUGGGAGGAAACUUUCAAAGGGGUCCCUCUAGAAAGCAGAUUCCACCUCCCCCUACUGGUUUGUGAAAAGAUUUCCUUGGAGAAAAGUGAAAAAACCCUGUUUAUUUAACCAGCAAAGUGUUUACAAGCAUAAAAAAUGAAUAAUAUUAAAUAAUGGAACCUCUCAUCAUUCUGAAGAGAUGGCAAAUUCAGGAAGUCCCUCUCAUGGGGUGUAGCUUGGCUUGCUCAGUCUCUUAUCAGUCCCUCCUGCACUGGAAUGCAGCGUCCCAGUCCAGGUGAGCCAAAGGUGUGAGCUCCCUGUGUUUUCUGCGUUUUCAGUCCACAGCAGAGCUGAACAGUUCCAAGAAAAAGAAAAGCCACAUCCGGGGAACUUGUCUGCCUCAGCUAGCUAAAAACUACCUAAAAGCAAAGGAGAGCUCUCCCCCUGUCUGUGCUGCAGACAGCACAGUCCAGGAGCAGGAAUGCAGGGGAGCAAGGGCAGUUUCAAACUGCACACUUCUCCUCGCCCCUUUGCUCUCAGAACCAGUCUUAAAAGUGCAGAACUUAAUAUCCAGCAUAAACAGAAGAGACAACUGGGGAUACAAGCACUGUAAAGUCACCCCAGGACACACUUUCCAGAGGCUGCUUAAAUUGUGCAAGACUAUCCCCGAGCUAUGUGUUUCAAACAUAAUUUAGGGAGGUUUGCUUUUGACUCGUCUGUUUUUUCCAUUACUUGAACUUCAGCAGUGACCUCAAGAAAUGAUGGAAAAUAGGUAUUUGCCUUGGUUCCAAAUCCACAUGUGACUACCAAAGCAGCUGUGCCCAUUUCUUCAUGUGCCCAUAACACAGCUCUGCUCUCUAAAUGGUGGGAGUUCCCUGACUUUGCUGCUCUAGCCUGGACAGCCCUUGGGCUUGGGUUCUAUAGAUGUGAGCUCUGAUUUAUUUGGGAGUGCUGAAGCAUAUUAAACACACAUUGCAGCUCAGCAUAUUAAGUAGGACUUUGCAGUAGGAGUUUCGUUCCAAG